rnacentral:misc_RNA from 1 species
UGGGAUUAAAAGUGUGGUGGAA